rnacentral:snRNA from 1 species
AGCUUUGCGCAGUGGCAGUAUCGUAGCCAAUGAGGUUUAUCCGAGGCGCGAUUAUUGCUAAUUGAAAAAGUGAUUGUUAUAAAAAUAAUUUUGCAGUAAAUUGAAAGUUUUUUUCAUUUCCCACAGAGA